GACAGAGGGUGCAAACGUUGUUCGGAAUUACUGGGCGUAAAGCGCGUGUAGGCGGUCGGGUAAGUCGGAUGUGAAAGCCCCGGGCUCAACCCGGGAAGUGCAUUCGAUACUACUUGGCUAGAGUACUGGAGAGGAUGGUGGAACUCUCGGUGUAGAGGUGAAAUUCGUAGAUAUCGAGAAGAACACCGGCGGCGAAGGCGGCCAUCUGGACAGAUACUGACGCUGAGACGCGAAAGCGUGGGUAGCAAACAGG
rnacentral:rRNA from 1 species